GAAAGAAGAGGCGCAUUACUCAGGUCGAUCAUUUUAAGUGCUGGAGCUGUUAAUAAAUGAUUCAGGGGAUGUAAUGCCGAGAUUUGGUUGAGAGAAUCCAGACAGAAACCAGAUCGACUGCAAGGGCUGAAUCCCUUGGGUUGUCACCUUAACAGGUGGAGCGCUUCAUGG
rnacentral:ncRNA from 1 species